AACAGAGAAGCCGAGGUGAGAGGAAGACGCCGGCUGUCACGACCGACGCCUGAGGCAUCUUCAAAGAUAAUGCAAACAUCGCUGAUGGACUCCAAUAAACACCCAUUUCAAUAAUUCACGUCUUUUGAGCGAAUUGUUUGCCUCUUUAACAAAUAGGGAUUACUUUUUAUUUACUUCUGAUUCCCUUUAAAAUAAAAGAUUCUUUGGGUCUACACAUAUGGAAACACAAGAACAGUCUAAAGAGUUUCUCAUCAUUUCGGAGUCCCUGCUCGAAAUUCAGCGAAAGAGGAAUUUCGGAGCCUCGUGCCGGAAGCCCGUUGAAAGGCUGUUUAAAUCGUUUUAAACUGUGUGAUUGUGAGCGUGAGUGGGAAUAAAAAUACCAAUAGUAUAAAAAAUUAUUUUAA